rnacentral:rRNA from 1 species
AUUGAACGCUGGCGGCAGGCCUAACACAUGCAAGUCGAGCGGAUGAAGGGAGCUUGCUCCUGGAUUCAGCGGCGGACGGGUGAGUAAUGCCUAGGAAUCUGCCUGGUAGUGGGGGAUAACGUCCGGAAACGGGCGCUAAUACCGCAUACGUCCUGAGGGAGAAAGUGGGGGAUCUUCGGACCUCACGCUUCCAGAUGAGCCUAGGUCGGAUUAGCUAGUUGGUGGGGUAAAGGCCUACCAAGGCGACGAUCCGUAACUGGUCUGAGAGGAUGAUCAGUCACACUGGAACUGAGACACGGUCCAGACUCCUACGGGAGGCAGCAGUGGGGAAUAUUGGACAAUGGGCGAAAGCCUGAUCCAGCCAUGCCGCGUGUGUGAAGAAGGUCUUCGGAUUGUAAAGCACUUUAAGUUGGGAGGAAGGGCAGUAAGUUAAUACCUUGCUGUUUUGACGUUACCAACAGAAUAAGCACCGGCUAACUUCGUG